AGAGUUUGAUCCUGGCUCAGGACGAACGCUGGCGGCGUGCCUAAUACAUGCAAGUCGAACGAAGCUUUCUUUCACCGAAUGCUUGCAUUCACCGAAAGAAGCUUAGUGGCGAACGGGUGAGUAACACGUAGGCAACCUGCCCAAAAGAGGGGGAUAACACUUGGAAACAGGUGCUAAUACCGCAUAACCAUGAACACCGCAUGAUGUUCAUGUAAAAGACGGCUUUUACUGUCACUUUUGGAUGGGCCUGCGGCGUAUUAACUUGUUGGUGGGGUAACGGCCUACCAAGGUGAUGAUACGUAGCCGAACUGAGAGGUUGAUCGGCCACAUUGGGACUGAGACACGGCCCAAACUCCUACGGGAGGCAGCAGUAGGGAAUCUUCCACAAUGGACGAAAGUCUGAUGGAGCAACGCCGCGUGAAUAAAGAAGGCCUUCGGGUCGUAAAAUUCUGUUGUCAGAGAAGAACGUGCGUGAGAGUAACUGUUCACGUAUUGACGGUAUCUGACCAGAAAGCCACGGCUAACUACGUGCCAGCAGCCGCGGUAAUACGUAGGUGGCGAGCGUUGUCCGGAUUUAUUGGGCGUAAAGGGAACGCAGGCGGUCUUUUAAGUCUGAUGUGAAAGCCUUCGGCUUAACCGAAGUAGCGCAUUGGAAACUGGAAGACUUGAGUGCGGAAGAGGAGAGUGGAACUCCAUGUGUAGCGGUGAAAUGCGUAGAUAUAUGGAAGAACACCAGUGGCGAAAGCGGCUCUCUGGUCUGUAACUGACGCUGAGGUUCGAAAGCGUGGGUAGCAAACAGGAUUAGAUACCCUGGUAGUCCACGCCGUAAACGAUGAGUGCUAAGUGUUGGAGGGUUUCCGCCCUUCAGUGCUGCAGCUAACGCAUUAAGCACUCCGCCUGGGGAGUACGGUCGCAAGACUGAAACUCAAAGGAAUUGACGGGGGCCCGCACAAGCGGUGGAGCAUGUGGUUUAAUUCGAAGCAACGCGAAGAACCUUACCAGGUCUUGACAUCUUCUGACAAUUCCAGAGAUGGAACGUUCCCUUCGGGGACAGAAUGACAGGUGGUGCAUGGUUGUCGUCAGCUCGUGUCGUGAGAUGUUGGGUUAAGUCCCGCAACGAGCGCAACCCUUAUUGUCAGUUGCCAUCAUUAAGUUGGGCACUCUGGCGAGACUGCCGGUGACAAACCGGAGGAAGGUGGGGAUGACGUCAAAUCAUCAUGCCCCUUAUGACCUGGGCUACACACGUGCUACAAUGGACGGUACAACGAGUCGCUAACUCGCGA
rnacentral:rRNA from 1 species